rnacentral:rRNA from 1 species
ACUCAAAUGAAUUGACGGGGACCUGCACAAGCGGUGGAGCAUGUGGUUUAAUUCGACGCAACGCGAAGAACCUUACCUGGGUUAAAUCCCAGUUGUAAGGCGCAGAGAUGCGCCCCCCUCGCAAGAGGCGGCUGGGAAGGUGCUGCAUGGCUGUCGUCAGCUCGUGUCGUGAGAUGUUGGGUUAAGUCCCGCAACGAGCGCAACCCUUACCAUUAGUUACCAGCAUUCAGUUGGGGACUCUAAUGGAACUGCCGGUGAUAAACCGGAGGAAGGUGGGGAUGACGUCAAGUCAUCAUGGCCUCUAUGUCCAGGGCUACACACGUGCUACAAUGGACGGUACAAACCGCCGCAAACUCGCGAGAGGGAGCCAAUCGGAAAAAACCGUUCUCAGUUCGGAUUGUAGUCUGCAACUCGACUACAUGAAGUUGGAAUCGCUAGUAAUCGCAGAUCAGCACGCUGCGGUGAAUACGUUCCCAGGUCUUGUACACACCGCCCGU